CAUCAGCUCACCGAACGGGACCGCCGAGUGCUGAAGCACAUAGAGCGUAAAAAUUCUGUCCUCGGUUGCAACACUCACUACAGAGUUCCAAACUGCCUCUGGAAGCAACAUCAGCACAAUUACUGUUCGGCUGGAGCUUCAUGGAAUUGGUUUCCAUGGCAGAGCAGCCACACACAAGCCUAAGAUCACCAUGUGCAAUGUCAAGCGUCGGCUGGAGUGGUGUAAAGGUCACGGGACAUUGGACUCUGGAGCAGUGGAAACACGUUCUUUGGAGUGAUAAAUCACGCUUCACCAUCAGGCAGUCCAAUCAACAAAGCUGGGUUUGGCAGAUGCCAGAAGAACGCUACCUGCCCGAAUGCAUAGUGCCAACUAAAGUUUGUUGGAGAAGGAAUAAUGGUCUGGGGCUGUUUUUCAUGGUCCGGGCUAGGCCCCUUAGUUCCAUUGAAGGGAAAUCUCAACGCUACAGCAUACAAUGACAUUCUAGACGAUUCUGUGCUUCCAACUUUGUAGCAACAGUUUUGGGGAAGGCCCUUUACUUUUUCAGCAUGAUCAAACACCGUUGGGAUGAAUUGGAACGCUGACUGCGAGCCGAGCCUAAUCGCCCAACAUCAGUGCCCAACCUCACUAAUUCUCUUGUAGCUGAAUGGAAGAAAGACCCCUGCAGCAAUGUUAAAAUAUCUAGUGGAAAGCCUUUCCCAGAAGAGUGGAGGCUGUUAUAGCAGCAAAUACCCAUGAUUUUGGAUUGAGAUGUUCGACAAGCAGGUGUCCACAUACUUUUGGUCAUGUAGUGUAGGUUAUAGCAAUUUGUCAGUCCAUGACACAGUCCAUCACACAGUCCAUCACACAGUCCAUCACACAGUCCAUCACACAGUCCAUCACACAGUCCAUCACACAGUCCAUCACACAGUCCAUCACACAGUCCAUCACACAGUCCAUCACACAGUCCAUCACACAGUCCAUCACACAGUCCAUCACACAGUCCAUCACACAGUCCAUCACACAGUCCAUCACACAGUCCUUGACGUGACACAAACACUGAUUGUUGCCUCGCCUUAGCUAUGGAACGCGCCUCGUUUCAUCAGGCUUCUUGCCACGUUUAAAAGAACUGGGGACUUGAAAUUAGGGAAACAUUUUUGAACGGUCAUUCAACUCGUAUUUCCAAGCAGUAAACUUUCAGGAGCUUGGACUUUCCGACCUGAAGAUCACGGACGCCCUGAUUUGACCUUUUAUUCCUGAGUUCCCAAUUGUCUGGAAAGCACCAUUAUACCCAUAUCUAGCGAUGACUUCACUGGUGACGUCAUUACCAGCAUCCAGUGGUGACGUCAUUACCGGCAUCCAGCGGCGACGUCAUUACCUGCAUCCAGCGGCGACGUCAUUACCGGCAUCCAGCGGCGACGUCAUUACCGGCAUCCAGCGGUGACGUCAUUACCGGCAUCCUGAGGUGGCUUCACUUCCCAGUGUUUGUUUAUCAAUGGGCGGAUUUGAUUAUGCUAAGCCACGUGGCACCAGCCUAUGGUCCUCUUUCACUGCGAAUGAAGCACCCUUCUCAAAUCCAACAGUAAUCUACAAAUCCAACAGUAAUCUACGAAUCCAACAGUAAUCUACGCAGCUCUGUGAUUUUGUCAACAAGGCAGCAUGGUGUAUCAUACAUCUCUUUUCCAUAAAGUAUGUUUUGUUCAUUAGGAAGACAGAACGCGUUUUAUUUUCAAUCAAAAGCAAUCCCUUUUGCCUGUGAAACCACAGAAUCCUAGUAAUUACAACACGUGCUUAAUUACAUCAAUUUUGUUUUGAGCAGAUGUCGCCUGUGGUUUUAAACGAUAAGGGUCUUGUCCGUCUGAACGUCUGGGAGACCAGGUAGGGUCUAGUCCAUCUGAAGGUCUCGGAGACCAGGUAGGGUCUAGUCCAUCUGAAGGUCUCGGAGACCAGGUAGGGUCUAGUCCAUCUGAAGGUCUCGGAGACCAGGUAGGGUCUAGUCCAUCUGAAGGCUCCCUACCGGUAAUGACGUCACCAUUAGAUACUACUUUAGCUCUAUGGGGCACCCUAUGUGUCUGGAAGUUGGGUAUAGAAAGGGAUUUGAGGUCCAUUGGACCCUCUCUACUAAUGAUCCUGGUCAUCAAGUCUCCUCCAUCACUGCAGAUUGCUAACGACUCGGGAUGAAACCGUUAAUCUGUGACUCUGUCUGUCCAGAGCUCUUUAUUGUAAUUUACAGCUGUGAGUUUGUCUGUCAUGUGACGCGGCUGCAGAGCACCUGAUUAUUAUGAUGAUGAUGUAAAGAAACAAAGGCCUGUCCAAAUUAAUAAAAUGUUUGUUUAACCUUUC